UCCAUAUUCUUUCCCCCCCUAUUUAUUAAUAAAAAAUAUCUCAAUUAUUCAUUCUUCUUCACUUCUCUCUAUCGACCUGUAGCUAACGCCUCGGCUCUCUCCUGGUUUCGAUCGUAUGAAGAACCCGAAGCUUUAAUCGAGAAAACAAUUCGGCACAAUUGAGAGAAUCACAGAAAGUUUUGGGCUUUUCUUGCCAAAAUCAGAGGCCUUGUUGGUGUUGGUGAAGUUGUAUUAGAGAAAAAAAAGAAAAAAAUCGAUAAAGUUAGGGUUUUUAUUUAUUUUGUGUUAAUUUAUUGUACGUUUGUUUCGUUGUAGUGUAUCGCAAUUUAAUGAGAAUUGGUGUGAAGUGUAAUACUGAUAAAUUUCCUUCUUUUUUUCAGUUUUGAUUUUACUUUUUUUGGUUUCCCCAGUUACAUUCAAUUGUUGUAGUGGAUUAUUCAGUAAAAAAAAGAGGAACAAUUUGUUAUUGAAGGUUAAUUUUGUUAUUAUAUGCAAAAAGGAAAAAAAAAGAUAAAAGCUUUAUUGAG